AAUCAACGCUGGCGGCGUGCCUCAGACAUGCAAGUCGAACGCGAAAGUUUCCUUCGGGGGAGUGAGUAGAGUGGCGCACGGGUGAGUAACACGUAGGUAAUCUACCUUUGGAUGGGGAAUAACAAUCGGAAACGGUUGCUAAUACCGCAUAAUGCAGCGGCACCUAAUGGUGACAGUUGUUAAAGCGGGGGAGUCGAAAGACCUCGCGUCUGAAGAGGAGCCUGCGGCGGAUAGCUAGUUGGUAAGGUAACGGCUUACCAAGGCGACGAUCCGUAGCCGGCCUGAGAGGGCGGUCGGCCACACUGACACUGACAUACGGGUCAGACUCCUACGGGAGGCAGCAGUCGGGAAUCUUGGACAAUGGGCGCAAGCCUGAUCCAGCCAUGCCGCGUGGGUGAAGAAGGCCUCGGUUGUAAGU
rnacentral:rRNA from 1 species